CUACUUUUGCCGGCGAGCGGCGGACGGGUGAGUAAUGCCUGGGAAAUUGCCCAGUCGAGGGGGAUAACAGUUGGAAACGACUGCUAAUACCGCAUACGCCCUACGGGGGAAAGCAGGGGACCUUCGGGCCUUGCGCGAUUGGAUAUGCCCAGGUGGGAUUAGCUAGUUGGUGAGGUAAUGGCUCACCAAGGCGACGAUCCCUAGCUGGUCUGAGAGGAUGAUCAGCCACACUGGAACUGAGACACGGUCCAGACUCCUACGGGAGGCAGCAGUGGGGAAUAUUGCACAAUGGGGGAAACCCUGAUGCAGCCAUGCCGCGUGUGUGAAGAAGGCCUUCGGGUUGUAAAGCACUUUCAGCGAGGAGGAAAGGUUGUUGGCUAAUACCCGCUGACUGUGACGUUACUCGCAGAAGAAGCACCGGCUAACUCCGUGCCAGCAGCCGCG
rnacentral:rRNA from 1 species